AAGGAAUUAGUUAACUAAUAACAUUAGAAUGUCAAACUAAAAUUACCUUUUAUAAAGGUAUUCCUUA
rnacentral:tRNA from 1 species